UACGUAGGUGACGAGCGUUAUCCGGAAUUACUGGGCGUAAAGCGCACGCAAGCGGUUGGACAAGUCUGGCGUGAAAUCUCCUGGCUUAACUAGGAGCGGUCGCUGGAAACUGUUCGGCUUGAGGCGAUGAGAGGGGUGCAGAAUUCCCGGUGUAGUGGUGGAAUGCGUAGAGAUCGGGAGGAAUACCAGUGGCGAAGGCGGCUUACUGGCUCAUUCCUGACGCUGAGGAGCGAAAGCGUGGGGAGCAAACGGG
rnacentral:rRNA from 1 species